rnacentral:rRNA from 1 species
AUUGAACGCUGGCGGCAGGCCUAACACAUGCAAGUCGAGCGAGCGGCGGACGGGUGAGUAAUGUCUGGGAAACUGCCUGAUGGAGGGGGAUAACUACUGGAAACGGUAGCUAAUACCGCAUACCAUCAGAUGUGCCCAGAUGGGAUUAGCUAGUUGGUGGGGUAAUGGCUCACCUAGGCGACGAUCCCUAGCUGGUCUGAGAGGAUGACCAGCAACACUGGAACGGAGACACGGUCCAGAGGCAUACGGGAGGCAGCAGUGGGGAAUAUGGGACAAUGGGCGCAAGACUGAUGCAGCCAUGCAGCGUGUAUGAAGAAGGCGUUCGGGUUGAAAAGUACUUUCAGCGGGGAGGCGUUACCCGCAGAAGAAGCACCGGCUAACUCCGUGCCAGCAGCCGCGGUAAUUC